rnacentral:ncRNA from 1 species
CGCACUUUUUGAGGUGCUGGCAGAUGCUAAUCCGACGUGACAAUCAGGUCACUGCCUGUAAAGGCUUUGGGAUUGC